CGAGUUUUACCCACAUAUUUUAAUUUCCACUAUAGAUUAGUUGGGGUACUGAUCGUUGGUAGUAACUUUGGGGGCACACACUGUGAUGAUUUCAAAUCAUGGGACUUUUAGGUUGCAGAUCUAUUUUUAAGUAGAUUUCAAAUUGUAUUAUCUGAAAUGUUUUUUUGUAGCCUUGCAUGUUAUAAGAAAAAAAAACAGAAUUAUGGAUGUAUUAAACCGAAUAUUUGAUAUAAUUUCGUCAACAUUUGAUGAAUUAAGAACAUUUAUUGAAAGUUUGAAACACAGGAAAGUUCAUACUAAAUAUUGGUUAUCGUGGCUUAAAAUCAUCGUAAUUUAAUAAUGUUAGGCAAAUCCAAAACCGUACACUGACUUAGAGGAGAUGAUAGAGAUGAUAAGAACAAAUUUAAUCUGAAGCGGGAGGUUAUUUAUCCUAUGUAAAUUAGUUUUGGGAUAAAACGUUAAAAAGGUAAAAAUAUAAGGGUAGUAAAAUGAUAUUCAACAAACACAGCAAGGUAGAGUAAACCAUGAUCGCACAAGAUCACUGGCUCACCUGAGGUAAUGCUCUCUGUUUUCCUCACAACUCAGACUCAAUCCUCUGAAACAUUUCAAUGGGAAAAUCAGAGUUUUACAUGAAAUCGUCUUCGAGUUCUUGAAGCGAUUUGUUGCUCGAAGCAAUGUCUUUGUUGGAUGUCAUUUUAUCAGUUACCAUCAACCCCUUGUAGCUCCUCAUCUCUGCUUGCCUCUCCUUCUCCAGCCUCUCUAUCUCUUCACGUUUC